CAGGAGGGGACCGAGGAACGCAGAAGGCGAUGCCGAAAAGCAAAGGAGGGAUAGGGGGCACAACGGUGGGAGAAUAGUGGAGGCUCGCGCCUAAGACAGCGUCAAGAUCUGAAACCACUCAUCGUCGCUGCGUGAUGUGCAAAGGGUUAAAUGGACACCAAGACCCUUGGACCAGAGUGUGGAGAUCGCAGCCAGCCAUGAGGUCCUGAUUACAGCAAGUUAACGAGGUGAGGUGACCCUGGUUGGCAGAGACAGGAGCCAGGGGUAAUGAAAAAUUGUCCAGGAAUGGUUUGAGUAACAUGACAAAGAUCAAGGGAUGACUUGGUCACGAUUUCAACCAAAUAGUGCUUCUGUGUCAGAUCCAUGGAGACCCCACCUCACAACUUAGUUGACGGAAAGGAUCUGCUGCUGUCUUGGUGCCCGAUACCACAUCUUCAAAGGUCUUGUGGAGUCCAUGCCU